AACGAACAGCACGAUGCUCUUGACCAUGAGUGGGAAUGAAUACCUACAUGGGCAACCAGAGAGUUUAUCAAGGGUGGAAUAAGGUCCAGAGUCAGUUUACCUCUCUACACUACAGUCUGAAAAAUUAUAAUAUGAUGAUUUAACUGUGGUGAAACUCAACAGAAAUCUUCACUGAGCAAGAAGUGUUCAGUAGAGAGGAGGCAGCAGAGGCACGUUUUUAGCAAGAGGACCCCCGGAUGCAAGGGUCUUCGGUGUAACAGAGGAGAGACACACCUGAAGAAAUUACAGAGGCUCAAGGAGGCUGGGAUGUAAACAGUGAUGGUGGGCAUACUACAGAGCAACGCCAGACAUGGAUCUGACUUUCAGCCUCAGUUACACACUUUGGUCUUUAUUCGAACAGUGGCAGAAGUGGAGAGGGUGGCAAAGCAGGAAGAUGUGUUUUACUUAGAGAAACAAGAGCGUUUCUUCGAAUGUUCCUCAAUAUCUCUGUGAGUUAGGAGGUGAAGUCACUUGAGACUGUGUGGGAUGUGUGUGGUAUGCAGUCAUGUAUAGUUUUUUUUAUGUGUGUGUGUGUCUGUUGUGUAUAGUUGAUGGUGUGUGUGAAGUUUGAAGUGUAUGUGUGGGGUGGUGUAUCUGGUGUGUAUCGUUUGUGGUGCGUGUGCACUGUGUGUAGUGUGUGUUCUGUGCACAGUCUGUGGUGUAUUCGUGCAUGUGUGUGUGUGUUAUGUGGAAAGUCUGAUGAUGGGAAAAAAGGUUUAGAAAAGGAUGUGAUCUUCAGCGAGGGCCAAUGUGAAACACGGCAAAAGGCCAUUUCAGUACUUCAGAGACCCUGCUGUGUUUAGCAGAGUUGGACGUUGUCUUCGAUAUAUCUUCCUGUGCUCUUACAGGAAAUGCUCCUUAGAAUAAUGGAGAGAAUUUGUUAAGCCUGCUUUGGAAAACUAAGGAUUCUUAUUCCAAGAACAGUUUAUAAGAGGCUUUACGCAAAUAUCUGGGUGCUUUUGGAGUUUAAUUGCAUUUGCAUGAUUUAGAGUAAUUUAUCUGAGAUGUGUAAGACUGGCUGUUUGAGCGUGAUGACUAAAGAUUAUUUACAAAACUAAUUCACAGAUGAGUUAUUAUGCUAUUGUUUCCUUCAUUUAUGAAGCAAUGACACCCCAUAUCAAAGGCAUGUAAUGAUUAUAUUAUAGCUAUAAACACAUGGUUUAAAAUACUCAGAAAAUAUCAAAGGUCCAUUUAUUUCUCCUUUUUUAAAGACUCUCAAAUACUCCCUGUAACCUUCUGACAUAAUGUUGAACUAAUUCCUAAAACUAGGUGAGAAAAUGCAUAACAGCAAAUGAUUAUUGA
rnacentral:lncRNA from 10 species